ACGCUUUCAACAGGUAUGGGAACGGUGCUGCGGUUUUUACUUCGUCGGGGGCAGCAGCAAGAAAGUUUCAGAUGGAAAUUGAAGCAGGACAGAUCGGUAUUAAUGUUCCAAUCCCGGUUCCAUUACCGUUUUUCUCCUUCACUGGGAACAAGGCCUCUUUUGCAGGAGAUCUUAACUUCUAUGGCAAAGCAGGAGUGGACUUUUUCACUCAGAUCAAGACAGUGACACAACAGUGGAAGGAUAUUCCAACUUCAGUAUCUCUUGCAACGCCGACUUCCCAAAAGCCAUAACUACAGCCAAUUUCAUUUGAACCCUAUAUUUGUUCUUAUUUUUUUUUUUCUUUUUUUUUUGUCACUAUGAUAAACUGGUAGUCAGCUAAAUUAUCAUGGGGGAAAAUAGCAAAAUAAAACUUUAUAUUUGCAUAAUUCAUGAAAUAAAAUCUCAAGUGAGAAAUUCUCUA